AUACGGAGGGUGCAAGCGUUGUUCGGAAUUAUUGGGCGUAAAGAGCAUGUAGGCGGACUGUUAAGUCUGGUGUGAAAGCCCGGGGCUCAACCCCGGAAGUGCAUUGGAUACUGGCAGUCUUGAGUAUGGGAGAGGAAAGUGGAAUUCCGAGUGUAGGAGUGAAAUCCGUAGAUAUUCGGAGGAACACCAGUGGCGAAGGCGGCUUUCUGGACCAAUACUGACGCUGAGAUGCGAAAGCGUGGGGAGCGAACAGGAUUAGAAACCCUUGUAGUCC
rnacentral:rRNA from 1 species